GAUGAACGCUGGCGGCGUGCCUAAUACAUGCAAGUCGAGCGAACAGACGAGGAGCUUGCUCCUCUGACGUUAGCGGCGGACGGGUGAGUAACACGUGGAUAACCUACCUAUAAGACUGGGAUAACUUCGGGAAACCGGAGCUAAUACCGGAUAAUAUAUUGAACCGCAUGGUUCAAUAGUGAAAGACGGUUUUGCUGUCACUUAUAGAUGGAUCCGCGCCGCAUUAGCUAGUUGGUAAGGUAACGGCUUACCAAGGCGACGAUGCGUAGCCGACCUGAGAGGGUGAUCGGCCACACUGGAACUGAGACACGGUCCAGACUCCUACGGGAGGCAGCAGUAGGGAAUCUUCCGCAAUGGGCGAAAGCCUGACGGAGCAACGCCGCGUGAGUGAUGAAGGUCUUCGGAUCGUAAAACUCUGUUAUUAGGGAAGAACAAAUGUGUAAGUAACUAUGCACGUCUUGACGAUACCUAAUCAGAAGGCCACGGCUAACUACGUG
rnacentral:rRNA from 1 species